GACGAACCGUGCGAACGUUAUUCGGAAUCACUGGGCUUAAAGCGCGUGUAGGCGGGACGGCACGUCUGUCGCUGAAAUCCCCCGGCUUAACCGGGGAACUGGCGGAGAUACGACCGUCCUGGAGGGGCGUAGGGGGACCUGGAACUUCCGGUGGAGCGGUGAAAUGCGUCGAGAUCGGAAGGAACGCCCGUGGCGAAAGCGAGGUCCUGGACGCCUACUGACGCUGAGACGCGAAAGCCAGGGGAGCGAACGGG
rnacentral:rRNA from 1 species